rnacentral:rRNA from 1 species
UACGUAGGGGGCAAGCGUUGUCCGGAAUCAUUGGGCGUAAAGCGCGUGUAGGCGGCUCGAUAAGUCUGCUGUGAAAGUUCAGGGCUCAACCCUGAAAUGCCGGUGGAAACUGUCGAGCUAGAGUACGGUAGGGGCAGAGGGAAUUUCCGGUGGAGCGGUGAAAUGCGUAGAGAUCGGAAAGAACCCCAACGGCGAAAGCACUCUGCUGGGCCGACACUGACACUGAGAGACGAAAGCUAGGGGAGCGAAUGGG